rnacentral:rRNA from 1 species
GACGAACGCUGGCGGCGUGCUUAACACAUGCAAGUCGAACGAAGAGCGAUGGAAGCUUGCUUCUAUCAAUCUUAGUGGCGAACGGGUGAGUAACGCGUAAUCAACCUGCCCUUCAGAGGGGGACAACAGUUGGAAACGACUGCUAAUACCGCAUACGAUCUAAUCUCGGCAUCGAGGAUAGAUGAAAGGUGGCCUCUACAUGUAAGCAAUCACUGAAGGAGGGGAUUGCGUCUGAUUGGCUAGUUGGGGGGGUAACGGCCCACCAAGGCGAUGAUCAGUAGCCGGUCUGAGAGGAUGGACGGCCACAUUGGGACUGAGACACGGCCCAGACUCCUACGGGAGGCAGCAGUGGGGAAUCUUCCGCAAUGGACGAAAGUCUGACGGAGCAACGCCGCGUGAGUGAUGACGGCCUUCGGGUUGUAAAGCUCUGUUAAUCGGGACGAAAGGCCUUCUUGCGAACAGUUAGAAGGAUUGACGGUACCGGAAUAGAAAGCCACGGCUAACUACGUG